GUAACUACAAUAAAAAUAAAUAUUUUAUCACGAAUUUGGAUGAGCUAAAAAAUAAUUAAUAUUAGUUAUUGUUCUAUAUGUAGCAAAAUAUAUAUUUAAUUAUUUCUUAGAGGUGAAAUGCUUGUCAAGUCCAACGAUAUCUUGAUUUACAGGAAAAUUAUUUAGUAAAAUAGCAACUUAAAAGUAUUAAGAUUUUUAAGGGGUAUUAAGUAAAUUAUAUUAUAUAUAAAUUGUUUAACUGCAAUUAUAUAAGGUAACUUAUAAUACAGUGUUAUAAGACUAUAUCUAUUACUGUAACACAAGUACGUAUACGUAUUAUUUGUAAAUAAUGUUAUUAUUAGUAUUAAAAUAUCUUUAGUUAAGGAACUCGGCAAUUUUUUACUCAACUGUUUACCAAAAACAUUGCUUUGUGAAUAUUAUACAAGGUUAACCCUGCUCAAUGGUUUACUAAAUAGCCGCAGUACUCUGACUGUGCAAAGGUAGCAUAAUCAUUUGGCUUAUAAUUGAAGUCUGGCAUGAAUGGGAACAUGGGUAAAUACUGUCUUAUUUAAAUAGGUAAAAUUUACUUAAAAGGUGAAAAUUCCUUUAUAUACACUAAAGACGAGAAGACCCUAGAAAUUUUUUAUAUUCAUUUAUAACACGUAUUUUGUUGGGGCGACAUAGUAGCAAAUUUAACCUACUUAAAUUAAUAUGACCUUAUUUAAUAGCAUGGCUAAAUUACUCUAGGGAUAACAGCAUAAUGUAAUUAAGUUUGUGACCUCGAUGUUGGACUAGGAAACUUAAUGUCUAGAAGAUAUUAAUUAAGGCUCUGUUCGAGCUGUAUUUCCUACAUGAUCUGAGUUCAGACCGG
rnacentral:rRNA from 1 species